GGGGAGCAACAGCCAAUCAGGCGCGUAGGCCGGACUCCCCCGCCCCCUUAGGCUUCUUAACCCGUGGCAUGCUGGAGAACAGGAGACCCUGGCUGUCUGGGUUGCCGGCGGGUCCAGGAGCGCGCGCCCAAUCCUGUAGCUUCGGAUGCCGAGACUAGACCUCCCCAGGACCCGCUUCUAGGGACAGAUGGAGCCGGCGACAGGUCCACCUAUGCCCAGUUGGGGCUCUGGGAGUCUUGGCGACCUUUGUCUCCUGCCUGGCGCCUGCACUGAAGUGGCUGAGUUAAAGGUAAAGGCGCUUGCUGUAAAAUGCUGACUGAUUGAGCUGGAACCCCAGAGUCCAUGGUUUGGAAGGAGAGAAUUGACUUCCACCAUUGUUCUCUGACUACCUCACACUCACAUGGCAUGUGCGUGUGCACACACAGAAUAAAACCGUGAUUUAAAAAUGUU